GAUGAACGCUAGCGGCAGGCUUAAUACAUGCAAGUCGAGGGGCAGCAUGACUGUAGCAAUACAGUUGAUGGCGACCGGCAAACGGGUGCGGAACACGUACAGAACCUUCCUUCGAGCGGGGAAUAGCCCAGAGAAAUUUGGAUUAAUACCCCAUAGUACAACGGAGUGGCAUCACUUUGUUGUUAAAGAUUUAUCACUUGAAGAUGGCUGUGCGGCUGAUUAGGUAGUUGGCGGGGUAACGGCCCACCAAGCCUGCGAUCAGUAACUGGUGUGAGAGCACGACCAGUCACACGGGCACUGAGACACGGGCCCGACUCCUACGGGAGGCAGCAGUAAGGAAUAUUGGUCAAUGGACGAAAGUCUGAACCAGCCAUGCCGCGUGGAGGAUGAAGGUCCUCUGGAUUGUAAACUUCUUUAUAUGGGACGAAAAAGGGUUUUCUAACUCGUCUGACGGUACCAUAUGAAUAAGCACGGCUAACUCCGUGCCAGCAGCCGACGG
rnacentral:rRNA from 1 species